CUCACUGGAUAAGAGCCAGUGAGGGUUGGGUUGCAUUUUCAUUGGAAGGCUCACGUGGAAGGAUGCUCACGUUCAGGACACAGCAGAAUAUAGUUCCUCGUGGCUGUAUGCAAUGAAGGCUUUGACAUAAUCUGGCUGCCACACUGAGCUGGAAGCUGUAGGCUAUCAGCAGCAACUUGCCAUGAGGUCUGUCGACAGGUGCUUCACUGGAAUGUCGCUGUCAUCAGGACUCCACAGAGCUGGCAGUGCAGUCUCUCAUUUCUCUCAUUUCUGCAAGGUGAUCUUACCUUUGAGACUCCAAACGAAUUCUAUGACAGACAUUGCCCUGCCUACUGCCAAUGCAGAGGGAAUAUACCCCAGGACAGGAAAGAGAGCCAAGAGUGCUCCCUGCUGCGCUUCUAGGUCUGUCAGUGCCGCCCAUUAGUCUUGUGGAUGGCGUUAUUGGCUGCUUUGCUCCAUAACUCUUCUGCUAAGCACUUCUUAUCUCGAAAACAACUUAAUCAUCCACCUGUCCAUCACCCAUCAUGAAUCCCAUGUGUCACCACGAGAUGGAAAAUUGCUGAAUAAAAUACCUCACUUUCAAUGGAGACCCAA